AUUGAACGCUGGCGGCAGGCCUAACACAUGCAAGUCGAGCGAGCGGCGGACGGGGGAGUAAUGUAUGGGGACUGCCCGAUAGAGGGGGAUAACUACGGGACACGGUAGCUAAUAACGCAUACUAUCGGAUAACCCAUAUGGGAUUAGCUAGUAGGUGAGGGAAUGGCUAACCUAGGCGACGAUCCCUAGCUGUUCUGAGAGGAUGAGCAGCCACACUGGGACGGAGACACGGCCCAGACUCCUACGGAGGCAGCAGUGGGGAAUAUUGCACAAUGGGCGCAAGCCUGAUGCAGCCAUGCCGCGUGUAUGAAGAAGGCCCUAGGGUUGUAAAGUACUUUCAGUCGGGAGGCGUUACCGACAGAAGAAGCCCCGGCUAACUCCGUGCCAGCAGCCGCGGUAAUAC
rnacentral:rRNA from 1 species